rnacentral:lncRNA from 1 species
ACUGAAGUCUUGGUUAGACUCACUGGGCAAUGGAAUUUGAACUGCCACCUCAUUCUGGUCUCUCUCAUCAGGCAUAGAUGACCCCUCUCUGGAAGAGCUCUUGAGAGAAGCCAUUGUUUGUUACACCUGUCUUAUAGAGCUACAGAGAACUUUCAUCUGUUCACCACACACUUGGACAGCUUGACAACACCAAAUCAUUUGUAUCACAAGUGUCGUGGUAAAGCAGUUCUCCUUUGUGCUCACCUUGGAGGGAAAAGUGUACAUGAGAGUCUUUAUUUUUAUCAUCUUGGAAGUGAUGACACAGAGAGAAAAAAGACAGACAGACAGACAGACAGACAAACAUAGGAAGAGAAAGAGGAAGAGAAAAAGGAAGAGACGGAGGAAACGUAUCACUGUGGCUCAUGCCUGCACAUCCAGCUAUUAGGAAGAUAAAUCAGAAAAAUUAAGGUGAGUUUGAGGCCUGUCUAGGAAUCAUAGCAAGACCCCAAUCAGCCAGAGGUGCAAAGCCCUAUCCAAUAUAUAUAUUGGGCUCAAGAGAUGGCUCAGCAGCUAAUAGUACUGCUACUCCUGCAGAGAACCUGGGUUCAUUUCCCCAGUGUUCCAUGGCGGUUCACAACCAUUUGUAACUCCAGUUUCAGGCUAUCUGAUGCCCUCUUCUGGUCUCUGUGAGCACCAGACAAAUAAAUGGUACACAGACCUACAGUCAAGACACUUAUAUACCAAGAAAUAAACUAUUUUAAUUAUAUAUAAAUAUAUUAACUAGAUUUGAAAGAAGUUAAUUUCAUUCAAAAUUUUACAUUAUCUUCUGAUACAAUUUGAUUUGACUCAUGGGCAGAAGAUACACAAGUCAGUUUGUGGAGCGUUUGCCUAGUAUGCACAAAACUCUGGCUUCUGCCCCCUACUCUGCAGAGACCAAGCACAAUGCUACACACCUGUAAACCUAGCAGUCAGGAGGUAUUGACAGAAGAGUCAGAAGUCUGCGGUCAUCCUUGGCUAUGUAGGGUAUCUGAGGCUAUCCAGCGCACCAUGAGGAUAUCUGUCUUGGGGGUUCGUGGAGGAGGGUAUUGAGAGAGCUGAAAUGAAAUUCUGUCUACAUUUUCUAAACAGUGUCUUUUUCCACCGUCUGAAAUGAGCUAAUAUUAAAUGCACACAUCAUAAUUUUUCACUUUAAGAAACUUCUAUGCACAGAUCCUAGAUGCUAAUCACUUAAAGCAGAUGUCCAGGGAGGUGCCAUCUUUUGAAAGUUGAGCUGAUAACCAUGUGAUUCAUACGCAGACAACUGUAAGCACAGUGAGCUUCAGAGAUGCAGCUCGGCCCCUGAAAUGCCAAGGGAUAUUUUCCUCGGUGAAACAUUGAACAAUGUGCCUCCAACAAGAAACAGACAAUGGCUUUCCUGAGGCUUGCGGUGUGGUCACGGUGAUGAUCUCUUCCUUUCUUCUUAAUGUGGUCCCAUACCAGAGACAUGACAAUGGUCAUUCACAAAAACUACAGUACGGAGAAGUUGGAGAUGCCUCUUCUGCAAUGUUUCUUUCUUCCAUCUGCAGCCGGGGGGUUACAGCUGCUGGCUUUUUCUUUUCUCGGUUACCUGAAUAGCUUUCCGCUUCGUAACUGUACCAGCUAGCUUUCUAUUGUGGCCAAAGGGCCAGUCAGAAUAUUUUAGUGUCUUUGGACUUCUAUGCUACCUUUCUUCUUUGAAACAGUUUGAAAGCUGGUUUUGUUGUUUUCUCGUUGAAGCCCUUGAUAGUGAACUGAGACCCAUGUGGUAUAUAUAGUGAUAAGUAAAAUAGUUAUAAACAAAAAUGAAAGUUUUUAACUAGGGUCUAUGCUUAAGAUUUCCCAUUUGGCUACCAAUACCUGAAACUCCAGGACUUGGCAGGUGAAGGAUCGAGAUUUCAAGGCCAGCCACGGCUAGAGGAGACCUGUCUUGAAAGGAAUAAAAGUUGUUAAAAAUGAAAUUAGUAGCUAACAAUAGUUUCUAGAUAUUGUAGCUACAAAUGUUCAUUACAUUUUUUAAAAAUUCAAAAAGGGGCUGGUGAGAUGGCUCGGUGGGUAAGAGCACCCGACUGCUCUUCCGAAGGUCCAGAGUUCAAAUCCCAGCAACCACAUGGUGGCUCACAACCAUCUGUAACAAGAUCUGACUCCCUCUUCUGGAGUGUCUGAAGACAGCUACAGUGUACUUACAUAUAAUAAAUAAAUAAAUCUUUAAAAAAAAUCAUUAACUUGAGCAUUCUAAAUAAAUCUCUGACAUAUAUGUUUAUAAUAUCAAUGGCAGCCAUUCGUGAAAAUCUUACUAAAGGCUAGGCACCAUACAUAAUACUUCACUCAUCAUGUUAAUGCUUUUUUAUUAUGCCAAUGAGGCAUGUGCAAACAUGCAUACUGUACAGACAAAGCAACUAGUGAUUAGUUGGCUACACAGAUGAGAUGGCAGUCAAGUAGGAUUUGAACUUACAUCCUCUUGACAUAAACCAUCUUGCUUUUAUGUGCUGUGUUGUUCAGCCUUCCCAUGCAGGUAAGCACAACAGAACAUUCAUGAGCUGUAGGUGUCUUUAUAUAUUACAAUUCAAACAUACCCUUUAGACAAUAUCUCCUGACAUUUCUUCAUAUUAUCUUUUAUUUUUGUCAUCAAACAAUACUUACUGGAUAGUUGAUGUUGAGUAGAUCUUUUAACCUCUCAAAUUUUCAACUGUCAUCUCCAAAAUGAGAUAAAUGAACUAAGUCCCCUAAAGUCUGUAUCAUAUGGUCUCUGCUGCAUAACAAACUAUGUUAAAACUCUGUUUACUUACAAAACAAGGUAACCAUGAUUUUGUACAUGAGAAAUCUGGGAAGAGUUCACACGAUGACUCCUCUUCAUGUCAGAUUGGACUCAAUCAUGGGUCUAACAUAGCAUCUCAGUUUUCCAUGGAGAUAGGAAGUUCUUGGCACCUAAGACUUUAGUGAGAACUGGGCAUGCUCACUGAAAAGUAGCUGAGCCCUCAUGUUUCUAUGGUCAGAUAGACUUUUUUUUUAAGAUUUUUAUUUAUUAUUAUAUAUAAGUACACUCUAGCUGUCUUCAGACACACCAGAAGAGGGUGUCAGGUCUCAUUACAGACGGUUUUGAGCCACCAUGUGGUUGCUGGGAUUUGAGCUCAUGACCUCUGGAAGAGCAGUCAGUGCUCUUUACCACUGAGCCAUCUCUCCAGCCCCCAGAUGGACUUCUGCUAAUCCACAAAGUAACUGGACCACAGAUCUGAUUACCCCACUAGGUUUGCCCAGGUUUGUUCAAAUGAUGGUAAAUGUACAGUUUUGAAAAGUAAUGAGAGAAACUACUCCCAGUGAGCCAAUUGUCUAUUUCCAGUCAUUCAUAUAUAUAUAUAUACAUACACACUCUUGGUUCAAAGUGAAUUAUCUGGACCAGAUUCAGUAACAAAGAAGUAGAUCCCCUCAGUCUAACAGAAGGACGUAAGAAACAUGUGUCACCUGACC